GAUGAAGAACGUAGCGAAAUGCGAUAAGUAAUGUGAAUUGCAGAAUUCAGUGAAUCAUCGAAUCUUUGAACGCACAUUGCGCCCGCCAGUAUUCUGGCGGGCAUGCCUGUUCGAGCGUCAUUUCAACCAUCAAGCCCCAGGCUUGUGUUGGGGACCUGCGGCUGCCGCAGGCCCUGAAAACCAGUGGCGGGCUCGCUAGUCACACCGAGCGUAGUAGCAUACACAUCGCUCAGGGCGUGCUGCGGGUUCCGGCCGUUAAACCCCUUUUUACCCAAGGUUGACCUCGGAUCAGGUAGGAAGACCCGCUGAACUUAAGCAUAUCAAUAAGCGGAGGA
rnacentral:misc_RNA from 1 species